rnacentral:rRNA from 1 species
AGAGUUUGAUCAUGGCUCAGAUUGAACGCUGGCGGCAUGCCUAACACAUGCAAGUCGAACGGUAACAGGCCGCAAGGUGCUGACGAGUGGCGGACGGGUGAGUAAUACGUAGGUAUCUGCCCUGUAGUGGGGGAUAACCCGGGGAAACUCGGGCUAAUACCGCAUACGCUCUUUUAUCGUUGAGAUAGGAGAGGAAAGCGAGGGACCGAAAGGCCUCGCGCUAGAGGAUGAGCCUACGCCCGAUUAGCUAGUUGGUAGGGUAAAAGCCUACCAAGGCGACGAUCGGUAGCUGGUCUGAGAGGAUGGCCAGCCACACUGGGACUGAGACACGGCCCAGACUCCUACGGGAGGCAGCAGUGGGGAAUAUUGGACAAUGGGCGCAAGCCUGAUCCAGCCAUGCCGCGUGAGUGAUGAAGGCCCUAGGGUUGUAAAGCUCUUUCACCCACGACGAUAAUGACGGUAGUGGGAGAAGAAGCACCGGCUAACUCCGUGCCAGCAGCCGCGGUAAUACGGAGGGUGCGAGCGUUAAUCGGAAUUACUGGGCGUAAAGGGCGCGUAGGCGGUUGGGUAAGUCGGGUGUGAAAGCCCCGGGCUUAACCUGGGAAUGGCAUUCGAGACUACCUAUCUAGAGUCUGGUAGAGGGAAGUGGAAUUUCCGGUGUAGCGGUGAAAUGUGUAGAUAUCGGAAGGAACACCAGUGGCGAAGGCGACUUCCUGGACCAAGACUGACGCUGAGGCGCGAAAGCGUGGGGAUCAAACAGGAUUAGAUACCCCAGUAGUCC